UUGUUUGCCUGGUAGGGGAGACACCAUGGUUGUGGAAGGUGAGUUUUUUAGGGUGAAGCCAAUCCUUCGCACUCCAGGUGUGCUGAUCCCUUAAUUUCCCAGGAACCUCAGCUGUGUAAUUUUUGGAAGGAGGAUACUGUCUGUACUUUCCCCU
rnacentral:snRNA from 10 species